rnacentral:rRNA from 1 species
UACGGGGGGGGCAAGCGUUGUUCGGAAUGACUGGGCGUAAAGGGCUCGUAGGCGGCCAGCUAAGUCGGAUGUGAAAUCCCCAGGCUCAACUUGGGAACUGCAUCCGAUACUGGAUGGCUUGAAUUCGGGAGAGGGAUGCAGAAUUCCAGGUGUAGCGGUGAAAUGCGUAGAUAUCUGGAGGAAUACCGGUGGCGAAGGCGGCGUCCUGGUCCGUCAUUGACGCUGAGGAGCGAAAGCUAGGGGAGCAAACGGG